GCGGCAUGGCUAAGGCAUGCAAGUCGUACGCGAAACCGGCUUCGGCCGGGAGUAGAGUGGCGAACGGGCGAGGAAUGCGUUUCUAACGUGCCCCAAUGUCGAUGAUAGCUCGGGGAAACCCGGGGUAAUACUCGAUGACCCCCAUGGACCGCAUGGUUCGUGGGGCAAAUGCUUGCUGCCUUGGGAUCGGGAAACGCCCUAUCAGUGUUGUUGGUGAGGUAACGGCUCACCAAGCCUAAGACGGGUAGCGGGUGUGAGAGCAUGACCCGCCGCAUCGGGACUGAGACACUGCCCGGACUCCUACGGGAGGCUGCAGCAACGGAUAUUGGGCAAUGAGCGAAAGCUUGACCCAGCAAUGCCGCGUGCAUGAGGAAGCCCCUCGGGGUGUAAACUGCUGUCAGGGUUUAGGAAGUUCUGACCAAACCCAAAGGAAGUGGCCGGCUAACUUCGUGCCAGCAGCCGCGGUAAUACGAAGGGCCCAAGCGCUAAUCGGAAUCACUGGGCUUAAAGGGUGCGCAGGCGGAAUGGUCAGUGUCUUGUGAAAUCCCACGGCUCAACCGUGGAACUGCAGGGCAUACUGCCAUUCUUGAGGCCGGUAGAGGCCGCCGGAACUCUAGGUGUAGCGGUGAAAUGCGUAGAUAUCUAGAGGAACGCCAAAGACGAAGGUAGGCGGCUGGGCCGGUUCUGACGCUCAGGCACGAAAGCGUGGGGAGCAAACAGGAUUAGAUACCCUGGUAGUCCACGCCGUAAACGUUGUGCACUAGGUGCUGGAGGUUCUGACACCAUCAGCGCCGAAGCGAAAGUGAUUAGUGCACCGCCUGGGGAGUACGGUCGCAAGGCUAAAACUCAAAGGAAUUGACGGGGGCUCACACAAGCGGUGGAGCAUGUGGCUUAAUUCGAGGCAACGCGAAGAACCUUAUCCUGGGCUUGACAUGCAUGGAUUAACGCUGGGAAACCAGCGCCACACUCUUUGAGUGGAACAUGCACAGGUGCUGCAUGGCUGUCGUCAGCUCGUGCUGUGAAGUGUUGGGUUAAGUCCCUUAACGAGCGAAACCCCUGUCGCUAGUUUACCAUCAGGUAAUGCUGGGGACUCUAGCGAGACUGCCGGUGUCAAACCGGAGGAAGGCGGGGAUGACGUCAAGUCCUCAUGGCCUUUAUGCCCAGGGCUGCACACGUGCUACAAUGGCGCCGACAGAGCGAAGCAAAACCGCGAGGUAGAGCAAAUCGCAAAAAAGGUGCCCCAGUUCGGAUUGCAGUCUGCAACUCGACUGCAUGAAGCCGGAAUCGCUAGUAAUCGCGUAUCAGCAACGACGCGGUGAUACGUUCCUGAGCAUUGUACACACCGCCCGUCAAGUCAUGGAAGCCGGGAGUACCCGAAG
rnacentral:rRNA from 1 species